UCGCCAUAUUGAAUCUUUACAUCUUGAAUAAAAUAACAGAAGACACGUGUAGGGAAAAUUUUGUGUAUUUUUGUAGUUUUCGAAUAUAAAAAGCAGUCUUUUAUGAGUUAUAUACGGUGUAUGUGAUUUUCUCACUGAAAAACAAACUGAGAAGCUGUAGUUCAUUAUGAUGGUAAACGGACGACCAUUAUUGCUUUUAACUGUACCAGGAUUAGCGAUUAUUGUCGGUUUGAUAUGGUUCCGACGUAAAAAAUUCUUUGGCUUAGACUCCGGAGGUAAAAAGUCAAUUUCAGAAUGUUUGACUAUGAAUAAUUGUGGACAGAAAUUGAACCCCCUCGAAGACAGCAUAAUGGAUGUGAAGCACACGGAUUCGCUACCCAUUUCACCUGUUAGCAUAAAAAACGACCCCGGAAAACACCAAUCUGUAUCAUCAUCAUCCUCCUGCAGUGGAAAGUCGGCUCCGAUAGAUAUUAUACCUAACAUUAGAAGUCCACCAAAGGUUUCUGAUCAACAAUUUGAUGCUGAACUAUUAAAGUUAAAGAUUGAAGAAUCUGAUAUGAAGCACCUACGUCUAAUUGAAGAGCAGGACGAUUAUUCUAGUUUCGAGUCUCCAGUAAAUUUACCAGGAACAGCCGAUCGUUACCAAAAUUUUAUCAAAUUUAAUGAGUCUUUUAAACCAACACCGGAACCAGUAGUCGUGAAAGCUAAUAUGACAGCAAAAAUUUCUCCAAAAAGCUCAUUUGCUACUUCGUUUAAUCCGGCACAACCAUCCGAAAUACAGUUUUCGGAGCUAGAAAAUGCUAAUCCUUCACAUACCGCAGAUUCUGAACAAUUUAUUACCAGCCAGUCAAAUAAUGAGUACGCUACAAAUAAUGAUUGUCUGAAAAAUAACAGAACAAAUCAAAAACAAUUGGAUAAAAAUGAAAACUCCUCAGCAACAAGUCCACCGCUUAGUUUAUGUAGUCUACACUCUGGUGACUCAGGGAAAGGAUCUAGUCCACCUCAGUCUGAUUGUGCUCCAGCUACUAGUUACGAAUUUCUGUUACCUACAUAUUUAAUUAAUAGGAUGCUUGGACGAAAAGCAAACUUUGUGCAAAUAAUAAAGAGUAAAACCGGAGUGAAUGUGUUGAUUAAACGUAAUCCAAGUACGCACAAAACGAAGAUUUGCUCUUUAAAAGGGACACAGGCUGACAUUGACAAUGCUCUGGCUUUAAUCCGUUUGAAAUUUCCGGAGAAAAGAUUUCCUGUAUUAACAUUACAGCGAGUUGAUGUUGGAGAAAUUGAAAAAGUGCUAUCGUUACCUCUGCUAGAUACGACAUGUAUUCAUCUGCAGCUGGUUGAAGGAAUCAAUAACGAUGUUUCAAUUAGCUCUAUUAUCACUGGAGGCCACGUAUUUUUACAGCAACCGCUUCAUCCAACGUUUCCUUUGUUAAACACAAUGCAGCAAUGUAUGAUACAAAACUACAAUAUGAUUGAAGCUCCUUUGCUACCCGAAAUUAUCGAGAAUGCAAUUUGUGUUGUUAUGGUUCAUGGAAGUUGGUACCGUGUUCAGAUUAUUUCACACAAUAAAGAAAACCAACACUGUUUAGUUAAAUACCUAGACUAUGGCGGAUUUGCCAACGUUGCAGUAUCCAGCCUAAGACAAAUCCGAGCUAAUUUUAUGGGAGUUCCAUUUCAAUCUAUUGAAUGUGUGCUGUCUAAUGUGAAACCAUAUGGCGACUCUGGUUGGUUACCCGAAGCAUCUGAGGUUUUACAUAGCUUAUCUAAAGGUUUAAUACUGCAAGCUCAAGUAGCAGGAUACACCGCAGACGGUCUGCCGGAAAUCUAUUUGUUUGCUUCACUAGCUAGAGAUAACGUCAUAUUUAUAAACCAAGAGUUGGUUGCUCGCAACCUGGCAGUGUGGAUGGAUUAAAAUGAACAUUAUUUAUUUGAACAAUAGCCCAUUCAAUUAUUAUUCAACUGGUAUCCGGGGAAUAAAUGCUGAAAAAGCUAUUAUACAUCAACAAUGUGUCCUGCAAAUCUAUCGAUUAUUGGCUGAUUAUUAUAUUUUUUAAAACAGAUUGGAAUGUCCACUUUCCUUUCAUGGACCCUUGCGGUUUACAAUAGAAUACCCAGGUAACCAAUAAGCAUUAGUAUAAGCAGUAAACCAGUUGUUUAUUAGCAUCCCUGGCAUUUUAUACUGCAGGUUGCUGUUUAUCAGCCUUUUGACUGCAUAACUGUCGUGAAUUGGCAUCCACAAUUCUAUUUAAAUUCUUGUCGGUAACUAGCUGCAAAUAAGCAUUGUCAGCACUAUAAGAGGGCUAGCCGUAAAGUAGCCGCAUAUUUUGCCAAAAUAGCAUUUAAGUACCAUUUAAGGCAACAUAAAUGCUUAUUGGCUUGCAUUUAAAUUGCAUUGGAAAUGCUUACUGGUUACCUGGGUAACGACCGGGUCCAUUAUAGGAAUUUUAGUGUAUUUUGCAUGGGGAGAGUCCGGUAAUGGCGACAUUUUUUGCAUUGUAUAUAAUGGACCCACUUGUUGAAAACGUCAAUUUUAAAGCAUUAAUAAUGAAAUGCAGCUAAAAUUUUAUCAACUCAAAUGUGUGUUAUGUUUAGUACGGUCUGUUUCAUGUUAUAUAUCCUCAGAAAUAAGAAGUAUAAGCUAAUAAAUAUCGAAAUUUUAUCCGAGUGUCCAUUACAGGUAGAGGGUUUACUAUAUAGGUUAACUUACCCUACUAUCUGCUUUAGUGCAUUCAUGUAAUUUUUUUUAAUUCAUUAGUUUGGCCAUACGCAGCGAAAGGAUAUGAGUGGCGAGAUAGGCUGUCAUCGGCCUCAGCCAAAUCCUGGCAAAAGGCAUAAAAAAUAACGAGUAACUGACAGAGUAUAGCAAUCUGUUUAUCCUGCAAACACGUAUCAACAUGUUCGACUCUAAAUAAACAAAAUGGAGGCUAGUUGAAUCGAGCUGAAAGUCCAAUCGAACAUAUUCUACUGCCAACUUGACUUGAAACAGAGCUAAUUGGGAAAAAGCUGUUGAGUAGUCGCCUUUACAAUGUUCAGAAUUCCCCUUAUCGACUCCGAUGUAUCUCAUAACGAUAAUAAUGCUAUGUCUUACAUACACAAGCAUGACUAUUUAACGUACAGCAGGAAUGAACUUCGUACUGGCGCGCGCAUUUACUAAUUUGUAGCCUAAAAUGCCGGAAAACAUGCAUUCGGAAAACUUUAAUAACUCCGGACAUCGCAACUAGUAGCAGCUAAUUUUUUGCUUCUUAGUAGUUAACACCUUGAAUGUUGAUUCUAUGGUAGUGUCAGAGCGGAAAUUUGUGGAAAUCUUUUUCUACACAGUAUUGAAAAUUGACAUAAAUAACAAUUUUUUUGUUCUAAAACACUUCGUCAGAACAAAGCCUACUAGUAAAAAAUCUGUCUUAAUAUCACCUAAACUAUUAGUUUAUAAUCCCUUUAAUGUGAAUUGUCCUUUAAAAGUAUAGAAUUUUAAGCAGCAUGGUAGCCAGAUACUAAAAGAUUAAAUGAUAUUUAUUUGUUCACUUUCCAAAAUUUUUUUACACUGUGUUUCACCUUCUUUAAUGCCUAUUGAAAAACUACUUAUUAAAACAAUUUAUGUAUAUUUCUUAUAGAUUAUGUGUCUACUAUACGUAGAAUAUUAAGUUUGAUAGAAUAUCUCAAAUAAAAAUUUUGAGGUUUUGUCCGAGCUUUUUCGGGUUCUGCCCCAUAGUGCGGGGUUAGAUUAAAUUACGGAAAAGCGAAAUAUAUUUUGUAAAUUAUUUUCGCCGUAUUUUCAAAACAGAUAUGUGAGUGAUGUAAAACGCUGCUGCAAAUUUUCAACAAGUAAUAUCCUCCUGUGGAUAUCGUAUUUGCCGUAUAAUGAAAAAUUACAUCAAAACCGCCCUAAAACAACAUUUGCACAUAGCUCAGCAACUAUGCUUCGUAAGCAAGCAAAGUUUACGUUAGAUUCAAGCUGUCAAAGUAGCCACCCAUCCAUGCCAAUGUAGAAAUUUUACUUGGAAUCUGCACCGAUAAAUCAUUGAAUCGCACUUUUACCCGCAUCGCACUUUUACCCCUCCUUACUCUAUACAGUAUAUGAGUAAUUCUCGCUGAAACGGAGCCACUACUGACACGAGGUCUUCAAAUAUUGGAAUUUUUGCGCUUAAUUGGUUGAAAAUGGUUAAUAAAUAAGAAUUACAGUUUUAAUACCUCGAAAUAGUGGACCGCUCGUUCGCCAAGGGGCCUAACAGUUUCAAAAAAAAGUUGAAUUUUGAGCAAACCUUGAAAUCUAUAUCAUGUGAUAUUUCAUAAAUUUGCCAUGAAACAACUAACAAAUGGUCCGGUUCUGUAAAGAAGAAGAACAGGGCUUUCAAAUGGAGUAAAAAUUUUGGAUUUUAUCAAAAAAUCGCCGUUUUCACCAUGAGCCCCCAACCGCUUUUCAUUUUAAGACCAUCAUAGGAAAGCUGAGAAAAAAUGCUACAAGCAGGCUUGGCAUACACUUUUCGCUUCGAUUUUGCUCUUUUGAUUACUGCAUCUCAGCCAAGCAAAAUUUGAAAAAGUGAUGUAUGGGGCGUUUGUAGAAUUUGUUAUUACAGGCCGGACUCGAUUAUCCGGGGAUUCGAUUAUCCGGGUUUUUAGACUCGAUUAUCCGGAUGAAAAAUAAAUUUUUUUUUCACUGAUUUAUUUUAAACCCAAAUGUUAUAAUUUUCAUGCUACAUGAUGAUUCCAACUAGACAAGCAUUGAUUAACCUCCCUAAAGCUACAAAAUUCCUUUCUUAUAUCCCUUUUAUCGGCGAAAAAAACAAAAAUAAAUCCUGCGAUGAUGAAAUCAAUUUUUUUACUUAAAAAUCAUCAUCGCCAUCAUCAUUAUCAUCAUCAUCAUCGUCAUCGUAAUCAUCAGUAAAAAAAUGGCAAAAAAAAGAAUUUUAUGACUAGGGGAGAUUCAUCAAUAAUAAAAAAAACAUUUAUAAUACCUAAAUAUUGAAAAACAUAACAUACAAAAAAUAAUAUUGUACCAAAAAAAUCAUCAGUGGAAAAAAUCGUAAGAAAGGAUUUUUCUAACUUUUGGGAAGAUAGAUCAAUAAUAAAUAAAACAUUUCUAAUGCCUAAAAGUCAAAAAACUUGACCUACCAAAAAAAAAUUUUGUACCAAAAAUGAUGAUUCGAUUAUCGGGCUGAAAAUAAAAAUGAGCACCCGGAUAAUCGAGUCCGGGCUGUAUCUACAAUAUUGCUGAAGUAAGCAUUACUGUGCAUUUUGUAUUUAUGGCGCUAUAAGGCUGCUACUCUCUUGGUAGCAAAAAGAGCGCUCUUUUUGCUACCAACGGCAUUGCUGCAGCUACAGCGCCGUAAAUAAUAAAGAUAAAACUUCAUUUUCUUCAGCAAUAUUAUUGUUUAUCACUAGCUCUACAAAUGCCCUAUACACCACUUUUUCAAAUUCUGUUUGGCUGAGGAGCAGUAAUCUAAAGAGCAAAACCAAAGCGAAAAGUGUAUGCCAAGCCUGUCUACAAGAAACAUUCAUAAAAUUAGGUGUGCAAUGACAUUAGCUGAAUAAAACAACCAGUUAUUGGUAGCAAGGUUCCCAAUUUUCAUAUAAUUGUGAUAUUUCGAAAAUUUGCUAUGAAACAAACUACAAACGACACGGUUUUGUAAAGAGGAGAGAUAGGACUUAUAAAUGAAGUGAAAAAAAAUUAGCGGCCAUCUUGGAUUUAGCCGCCAUGUUGGAUUUUAUCAAAAAAUCGCCGUUUUCGCCAUGAUCCCCCAACCGAUUUUAAUUUCAAGACCACCAUCGAAAAGCUGAGAAAGAAUGCUAUAUGAAACAUUCAUCAAGUUAGAUAAACAAUGGCAUUAACUAAAUAAAACAAAUAUUUAUCAGUAUCAAGGUUUACAACUCUCCUAUAAUGGAAUUUCUUGCUACAGUCUGUCAGUCUCUCAGUGCAUCCCAGUACAGUCACGAAGAUAAAAAAAAAGGAAAAACCGAUAGUCAAAAUAUUGUACGCGUACCGGCACUGGUGGCACCGAUAAACCGACAUGGCGAUAUGACAUCCCAUACACUUUCUUUAGAAAACAUGUGUUCGUACACAUUUGAAUCAAAAUACGUUAAAUAGUAAUACGAACUAUAUAACGAAUCGCUAUUUAUUGUCGAAAAGUAGAGAACAGGUUUAGCCGAAUGUCAUUCACUAACUAUAUGUGACCGACACGAAAAAAAAAAUAAAAUCAUUAGGAGCACAAGUGAAUGAAUAAAGGCCUAUGUAAAAAGCUUUAUCAUCUGUUUGUGCAAUACACAAAAAAAAACCGGAGCAUUUUCAAUAUUUAGGUAUACAUAUCACCGUUGAAACAAACUGAAUUUCGCAUAAAUCUCUAUCCCGUAGGUACGCUUGUAAGCAAGUGAACGCUUUCUUGAAAGAUAAUGUGUGUCAAAACUUAAAUGCCAGUGUCAUAUCAGUUCAUCAGUGCUGGUGGUUCGUAUUGGUAUUCUCCAUUUGACACGAGUACCGUGAACGUACCAUAUUCUUCGCAGUUAAGACAUAUUUAUGAUUCUUCCGCUAUUCUAAGUAUUCUAGAUUUAAAUUAACACCGUGGAUAGCAGCAACGUGUAGCUACGGUCUACAAUAUCUGGUAAAAAAUAUGGGAAUUAUACCAACAAUUGAGUAAAUUUUUCGUUUUGUAAACUUAUCCACGGUGCCUAAUUCUGCGCACUUUCUUGCCCAUGUUCCUAAUUCUGCGCAUGUUUGCUUCUAAUUCUGCGCACCCAAAAAGUGAAAAUAAAUACUCCUGCCAUGCUGUUUAUGUCUUUAUACGCUGGAAGCACACCAAAAAAUCCGGCAUUAGCCAUUACCAUAAUUAAAUCCAUGAUUCGGCCUUCUUGUACUGUCCAGGUGGCAAAGCAAUAUUAUUAUCAUUUUGAUAGCCUCAUUUUAAAUAUUUUAUUCUCGAUAACGCGAAUAGCGAAUUGAUUCGGGUUUUCUGCAUAAUGAACAUUACACUUUAGACUAAUAAUAGAAAUUGAGUUUUCAUAUAGAAACCACGUCCCCACUCUCCGACAGCCCCAUGAGGUUGGACAUUAAAAAAAAUUAGAAGACAUGGCUUCAUGGCGCUCGUAGGUUUGAACCCCGAGACACAGCACAGGAUUCCAAUCAAUGCAAGUUAAAGAUUCUACUUGAAUUUUCAUGCCUCUAUACCACAGCUAUUUGGGUGAAGUUGCGUAUUCUUUUGCGAUUUCUUCGUAGGAUACAUUACUGCGCAGAAUUUGGAACAUGAAUAAAAAAUCUAUGCCUAAAUCUGCGCAUUAUUGCAUCGCAUUUUUCUAAAGAAAGCAAUGCAUGCAAUCACUCUUUUCGUCUAAAACGUGACUGAAACUAAUUAUUCUUUCUAAUUAUGCUGGGUAAUUUGAUCAUUGCAAAGAAUUUCGAUCAUAAAUUUGUUAAUUUUCUAGAAGGACAAUCUUAGCGUUGGUGCUAACGACGAUGUUUUCUGUCAUAUAAAAUAUUUUCAGUUUCACGUUAAAUUAUUUCGCUCUCAAAUAUUAUGGCCCGUUUGUGAAUAAUGGCGUAAUAUUCAACAGACAUUUAUAAAAAAAUAACGCAAUGAUCAUAGUUAUGCACAAUGUUAAAAAAUACUUAUAUUGCAAAUUGCAUCAAAAAUGCGAAAUGCAAGAAACUUGCAGACAUUUUGCAAGCAAAAUCCCAGUAGCGAACCGUCAAUUAUUCAUGUCAAUUUAUUGGGAUUG